GCCUUGAUAGUGAAACAGGUUAGCACAGCAGAUCGAACAUCUGUAGAUCCGAGUUCGAGUCCCGUCUGAGGUG
rnacentral:tRNA from 1 species